CCUACGGGUGGCAGCAGUGGGGGAUAUUGCACAAUGGGGGAAACCCUGAUGCAGCGACGCCGCGUGGGUGAAGAAGUAUUUCGGUAUGUAAAGCCCUAUCAGCAGGGAAGAAAGAAGACGGUACCUGACUAAGAAGCCCCGGCUAACUACGUGCCAGCAGCCGCGGUAAUACGUAGGGGGCGAGCGUUAUCCGGAUUCACUGGGUGUAAAGGGAGCGUAGACGGCCGUGCAAGCCAGGAGUGAAAGCCCGGGGCCCAACCCCGGGACUGCUCGUGGAACUGUGCGGCUGGAGUGCGGGAGGGGCAGGCGGAAUUCCUGGUGUAGCGGUGAAAUGCGUAGAUAUCAGGAGGAACACCGGCGGCGAAGGCGGCCUGCUGGACCGCGACUGACGUUGAGGCUCGAAAGCGUGGGGAGCGAACAGGAUUAGAUACCCCUGUAGUC
rnacentral:rRNA from 1 species